GACGAACGCUGGCGGCGUGCCUAAUACAUGCAAGUAGAACGCUGAAGGAGGAGCUUGCUUCUCUGGAUGAGUUGCGAACGGGUGAGUAACGCGUAGGUAACCUGCCUGGUAGCGGGGGAUAACUAUUGGAAACGAUAGCUAAUACCGCAUAAGAGUAGAUGUUGCAUGACAUUUGCUUAAAAGGUGCAAUUGCAUCACUACCAGAUGGACCUGCGUUGUAUUAGCUAGUUGGUGGGGUAACGGCUUACCAAGGCGACGAUACAUAGCCGACCUGAGAGGGGGGUCGGCCACACUGGGACUGGGACACGGCCCAGACUCCUACGGGAGGCAGCAGUAGGGAAUCUUCGGCAAUGGACGGAAGUCUGACCGAGCAACGCCGCGUGAGUGAAGAAGGGUUUCGGAUCGUAAAGCUCUGUUGUAAGAGAAGAACGAGUGUGAGAGUGGAAAGUUCACACUGUGACGGUAUCUUACCAGAAAGGGACGGCUAACUACGUG
rnacentral:rRNA from 1 species